rnacentral:rRNA from 1 species
CCUACGGGUGGCAGCAGUGGGGAAUAUUGCUCAAUGGGCGAAACCCUGAUCCAGCGACGCCGCGUGAGCGAUGAAGUAUUUCUGUAUGUAAAGCUCUUUCAGUAGGGAAGCAAAUGACGCUACCUGACUCAUACUCCCCGGCUCACUACGUGCCAGCAGCCGCGGGUACACGGAGGCGGCAAGCGUUAUCCGGAUUUACCGGGGGUUAAGGGAGCGUAGACGGUAUGGCAAGUCAGAUGUGAAAUACCGGGGAUCAACCCCGGGACAGCAUUUGAAACUGUUAAGCUGGAGUGUCGGAGAGGCAGGCGGAAUGCGUGGUGUAGCGGUGAAAUGCGUAGAUAUUAGGCGGAACACCAGUGGCGAAGGCAGCCUGCUGGACGAUGACUGACGUUGAGGCUCGAAAGCGUGGGUAGCAAACAGGAUUAGAUACCCGUGUAGUC